UAUCACUAAGCUGGAGCACAAGGGUCCCUGCAUAGCACUAGUCGGAACAUAAAGAUCCUUNUCUGGUACUGGCCCUUGCUCUAUGUUCCUUGGGAACAGGACGUCAUAGAGCGGUGAGAAUCCCGUCUGAUGGGGUGUCCAGUGCUUUGUAGAUUUCUAUCGAGGAGUCGAGUUGUUUGGGAAUGCAGCUCUAAGUGGGUGGUAAAUUCCAUCUAAAGCUAAAUACUGGCGAGAGACCGAUAGCGAACAAGUACAGUGAUGGAAAGAUGAAAAGAACUUUGAAAAGAGAGUGAAAAAGUACGUGAAAUUGUUGAAAGGGAAGGGUAUUGGAUCAGACUUGGUGUUUUGUGAUUAUCUUCCCUUCUUGGGUUGUGCACUCGCAUUUCACUGGGCCAGCAUCGGUUCGGAUGGCAAGAUAAUGGCUUGGGAACGUGGCACUCUUCGGAGUGUGUUAUAUCCCUUGUUGAUGUUGCCUAUCUGGACCGAGGACUGCGGCUUCCUGCCUAGGAUGCUGGCGUAAUGAUUCAAUACC
rnacentral:rRNA from 1 species